AGAACGAACGCUGGCGGCAUGCCUAAUACAUGCAAGUCGAACGAACACUUCGGUGUUAGUGGCGCACGGGUGCGUAACGCGUGGGAAUCUGCCCUUGGGUUCGGAAUAACAGUUGGAAACGACUGCUAAUACCGGAUGAUAUCGAAAGAUCGAAGAUUUAUCGCCCAGGGAUGAGCCCGCGUAGGAUUAGCUAGUUGGUGAGGUAAAGGCUCACCAAGGCGACGAUCCUUAGCUGGUCUGAGAGGAUGAUCAGCCACACUGGGACUGAGACACGGCCCAGACUCCUACGGGAGGCAGCAGUAGGGAAUAUUGGACAAUGGGCGCAAGCCUGAUCCAGCAAUGCCGCGUGAGUGAUGAAGGCCUUAGGGUUGUAAAGCUCUUUUACCCGAGAUGAUAAUGACAGUAUCGGAGAAUAAGCCCCGCUAACUCCGUGCCAGCAGCCGC
rnacentral:rRNA from 1 species